CACGGUCCAGACUCCUACGGGAGGCAGCAGUGGGGAAUAUUGCACAAUGGGCGCAAGCCUGAUGCAGCCAUGCCGCGUGUAUGAAGAAGGCCUUCGGGUUGUAAAGUACUUUCAGCGAGGAGGAAGGUGUUGUGGUUAAUAACCGCAGCAAUUGACGUUACUCGCAGAAGAAGCACCGGCUAACUCCGUGCCAGCAGCCGCGGUAAUACGGAGGGUGCAAGCGUUAAUCGGAAUUACUGGGCGUAAAGCGCACGCAGGCGGUCUGUCAAGUCGGAUG
rnacentral:rRNA from 1 species